rnacentral:rRNA from 1 species
UACGAAGGGGGCUAGCGUUGUUCGGAAUUACUGGGCGUAAAGCGUGCGUAGACGGUUGCGUAAGUCGGAUGUGAAAUCCCCGGGCUCAACCUGGGAAUUGCAUUCGAGACUGCGUAGCUGGGGUGCGGAAGAGGGAAGCGGAAUUUCCGGUGUAGCGGUGAAAUGCGUAGAUAUCGGAAGGAACAUCAGUGGCGAAAGCGGCUUCCUGGUCCAGCACCGACGUUCAGGCACGAAAGCGUGGGGAGCAAACAGG